rnacentral:rRNA from 1 species
GCAGUCGAGCGAGCUUGCCUAGAUGAUUUUAGUGCUUGCACUAAAUGAAACUAGAUACAAGCGAGCGGCGGACGGGUGAGUAACACGUGGGUAACCUGCCCAAGAGACUGGGAUAACACCUGGAAACAGAUGCUAAUACCGGAUAACAACACUAGACGCAUGUCUAGAGUUUGAAAGAUGGUUCUGCUAUCACUCUUGGAUGGACCUGCGGUGCAUUAGCUAGUUGGUAAGGUAACGGCUUACCAAGGCAAUGAUGCAUAGCCGAGUUGAGAGACUGAUCGGCCACAUUGGGACUGAGACACGGCCCAAACUCCUACGGGAGGCAGCAGUAGGGAAUCUUCCACAAUGGACGAAAGUCUGAUGGAGCAACGCCGCGUGAGUGAAGAAGGGUUUCGGCUCGUAAAGCUCUGUUGGUAGUGAAGAAAGAUAGAGGUAGUAACUGGCCUUUAUUUGACGGUAAUUACUUAGAAAGUCACGGCUAACUACGUGCCAGCAGCCGCGGUAAUACGUAGGUGGCAAGCGUUGUCCGGAUUUAUUGGGCGUAAAGCGAGUGCAGGCGGUUCAAUAAGUCUGAUGUGAAAGCCUUCGGCUCAACCGGAGAAUUGCAUCAGAAACUGUUGAACUUGAGUGCAGAAGAGGAGAGUGGAACUCCAUGUGUAGCGGUGGAAUGC